rnacentral:rRNA from 1 species
UACAGAGGUCUCAAGCGUUGUUCGGAUUCAUUGGGCGUAAAGGGUGCGUAGGUGGCGGGGUAAGUCGGAUGUGAAAUCCCGGGGCUCAACCCCGGAACUGCAUUCGAUACUGCCUUGCUCGAGUACUGGAGAGGAGAUUGGAAUUUACGGUGUAGCAGUGAAAUGCGUAGAUAUCGUAAGGAAGACCAGUGGCGAAGGCGAAUCUCUGGACAGUUACUGACACUGAGGCACGAAGGCCAGGGGAGCAAACGGG